GGGAGACAAGUGAUAACAUUAUCGUUCAAAAAAAUCAGGAGCAAGUAUUUAUGUGAAAGGCCAUAUUAUUUGGCCAUUUGACCUUAUGUAUUAUUGAAUUAUUUAGUUGGAAAUGAUAAACUACACAUUAUUGUCUGCUUGAGUUGUGAUCUUGAUUAUGGGCUAUUUGGUAUUUUGCCUACAAACUGUAUAGUUAAUUAUCUGUUAGAUUUUGUUUUCAUGUCACAACUUUAUGUUUCUGUGGCUAAUUGUAGCCAAAAGUUUUAUUUAUCGAUCUUAUUUUUCACAUUCAAGAAAAUUCAUCGUAGAGAUCCGUAAGUUUUUUCCUUUGGAGCUGUGAUACUAACCUGUUUGAAUAAAGGAAUCUGACUUGGUCUUUUCCUCUUUAGCAUUAUGGAUUAGGUCUUUCUCUUUACCAUAUUUCGUGGAUGAAGUUUAAGAAGUAAUCAAAAUAUAAAGGUUAAUGCUAACUGCUAAGCUUAUUUCGAAGAUGAAAGAUACUUUUAUCCACUCCCCAAAGAAUAUCAUUACUAUUUAUGUUGUAUUUCUGCUAACUAAUUCUUGCAUAGCAUCUAGUUUGAUAAUUAAAGUAAAGUUUCUGACAUGGAGGUUUUCAAGUUGUAAUAUAUAUUUAUGUUUUAGGUAGAUUCCCAAACUUUGAAGAAACAUUGCAGUACUGAGGUAAAUGAACGUUGUAUGACAGAGCAUCGGGCUUACCGAAGCCAAGGUAUCUUCUUCGAUAACAAGGUUCAUAAUUGCAUUACUUGUGCUACAAGCACUCGUAAACACACCCCUUGUGCUUUGGCUAUUGUUUGAGAUUCUGCACAUUUCAGAUGUUGAGGUACGAGAGACCAAGAUGAUGGGAAGCACUCCCAUUAUCAUUGUAGCUGUAUGCUCUGACAGUCUUUGUUCUAUAGUUGUGGAUUUUGUUUUGUAGGAUGA